rnacentral:tRNA from 1 species
GCCUUUGUGGUGUAAUGGUCAGCACACUCGGCGCGUAUUCGAGAAGUCCGAGGUUCGAGUCCUGGCGAGGGCA